rnacentral:rRNA from 1 species
UACGAGGGGAGCAAGCGUUGUUCGGAUUUACUGGGCGUAAAGGGCGCGUAGGCGGUCGUGACAAGUCACUUGUGAAAUCUCCGGGCUUAACUCGGAACGGUCAAGUGAUACUGUCGGACUAGAGUACAGAAGGGGCAACUGGAAUUCUCGGUGUAGCGGUGAAAUGCGUAGAUAUCGAGAGGAACACCUGCGGCGAAGGCGGGUUGCUGGGCUGAUACUGACGUGAUGCGGCGAAAGCCAGGGGAGCGAACGGG